rnacentral:lncRNA from 1 species
CGGGGAAUUUUUAUUUUUUUAUUUUUAUUUUUUUCUGCAGCUUCGUACAUCACAAUUUCUGUUAAGUUGCCAUGUACAAUAUGUAUCUUCUUGAACGUGUCUCUCAGCAGUGAUCUUUCUUGUCACCUUGAGAUAAAACAGAAAUAGUCUCAAAAAUAACCUCAGAGUAACAUUUUUGGUUCAGGUUUUGGUUUUGGUUUCAGUUUGGUUUGUGAGAAUGUAGUACUCCAGACAGCUGUAAAAACACAAGUGGUUUCUUCUAACACAGACUGACCAGUUUGACACUCUGCUUACUCCUGGAACCAUUCCUUCUGAUGCCAUCAGCAGACCCUGGUGACAGAAGGUGACAUCACGAACUACAGUGUGAUAUCACUGAAGAAAGGGCUUUUUAGCUAUCCUGUUAAGAGAAGAAAAAAAGUGAAGUUGACACCUUUGGCAGGUUCUGCCUUGGACUGUGAGAGGAGUGUCUGCUGGUGACCAUCCCACAAUGGUCCCCUUCUGCCCCCCAGCUGCACCUCUGCCUUCUGCCUCUGCUGCUUCCCCAGCUUUUGAGAUGUUUAGGUAACCUUAAUGGCAGAGGAUCACAUUGCUGGCAGCACGACUGAGCAACCAUGCCAUGCCCUGAAGGGGAUGCCAGCCGUGCAUGGGACAGACAGCAGGAGGAAGGUCUCAAGGAUCAGCUGACAGCAUCAUUAGUCAGAGUCUGUUGGACCUUGCAUGACUGCAUGAUAGGAGUCACUUCAGAUGAUUUGGGCAGGUCAGGAAGUUGUGUCCAGAAAGGAAGUUCCAGGAAAGGAAAAGGAGACUACUUUUCUGUGAAUACAGGAAGACUGGCUUAGUUAAUGCAGCACCAAGAAAGUGGUAGGUUGAGAAACAAUGAAUCUAUUAAAAUCUUAAUUUAACUCUUCCUGAGAUUAUGAAAGUUUACUAUAUGCAAAACAUUUUUUUUCCUUACUGUUUCUAAGCAGGGCAAGGAAAAAUAUGAAAUCAAGCAGGCCUUGAUAGUUUUUAAAACCUAAGUGAAAUAGAAUAUUCCAUACUAUUUUUUAAACUCUACCACAUAAAG